CUCACUUUAUUUGGAAACUAUAAAAUCACAUCAAUGCAUAUUACAAUUUCUGAAGAUGUGAAGCUAUAUUUUAGGUAAUAAAUUUAAACAGUGAUUGGUGCUGUCAAGCAAUAGUUUUCUUAAUCAAGUAUGAUGGAUCAUUGUAGACAUUCCAUCAACAUCUGCCACCGAAAAAUCUGUCGAGCUGGUGGAAGAGGAAGUGGCAGACAGUUCACUAGGGAUGGCGUCAAAGGAGGCUAACAGAGGUAAAAGGAAGCUUCUCAGGAAAGCUGCAUUUGGAGGUCCUCUUGUGGACGACUACCUUAAAUCAGAAAUAAAAAAAAAUGAAUCUAUUAUUGAAUUAAAUGAGUCCAACCUGGAACUGAACAAGCUGCGGAAGGAAAUCCUACAAAAAGCUUUGGUCAAGAUAGAUGAUAUAUCUCACGGAGAUAUUUUUGACCGUGUCACCUAUGUGUAAUUUCUGUCCAGAUAUUUUUGCAUAAUGACAUGAAUAAAAAAAUGUCUUAAUCAUACAGAUGUACUUUGUAUGAUGAAUGCAAGUGACAUUGUGGAUUUUUAUACGCUGUAAUCUCCAAAAUAUUCCACAGUGACAUUUUGAAGCCAGGUAAUACAUAUCUCUUAUUUCCAACUGUGGCACAAUGCACAUUAUGCAAUCUUAAAUUAAUAUCAAUAUUAAAGGGCUUGCAUAAGUAACUCAUCACA